rnacentral:rRNA from 1 species
GACGAAUGCUGGCUGCGUGCUUAACACAUGCAAGUCGAACGGUGAAAGGGAGCCUGCUCCCUGGAUCAGUGGCGAACGGGUGAGUAACACGUGGGCAACCUGCCCCUCACUCUGGGAUAACUCCGGGAAACCGGGGCUAAUACCGGAUACGACCUGGUGCGACAUCGCACCGGGUGGAAAGAACUUCGGUGAGGGAUGGGCCCGCGGCCUAUCAGCUUGUUGGUGGGGUAACGGCCCACCAAGGCGACGACGGGUAGCCGGCCUGAGAGGGCGAGCGGCCACACUGGGACUGAGACACGGCCCAGACUCCUACGGGAGGCAGCAGUGGGGAAUAUUGCGCAAUGGGCGAAAGCCUGACGCAGCGACGCAGCGUGAGGGACGAAGGCCUUCGGGUUGUAAACCUCUUUCAGCGGGGACGAAGCGAAAGUGACGGUACCCGCAGAAGAAGCACCGGCUAACUACGUGCCAGCCGCCGCCGUAAUAC